GAUGAACGCUGGCGGCGUGCCUAAUACAUGCAAGUCGAGCGAACUGAUUAGAAGCUUGCUUCUAUGACGUUAGCGGCGGACGGGUGAGUAACACGUGGGCAACCUGCCUGUAAGACUGGGAUAACUUCGGGAGACCGAAGCUAAUACCGGAUAGGAUCUUCUCCUUCAUGGGAGAUGAUUGAAAGAUGGUUUCGGCUAUCACUUACAGAUGGGCCCGCGGUGCAUUAGCUAGUUGGUGAGGUAGCGGCUCACCAAGGCAACGAUGCAUAGCCGACCUGGGAGGGUCAUCGGCCACACUGGGACUGAGACACGGCCCAGACUCCUACGGGAGGCAGCAGUAGGGAAUCUUCCGCAAUGGACGAAAGUCUGACGGAGCAACGCCGCGUGAGUGAUGAAGGCUUUCGGGUCGUAAAACUCUGUUGUUAGGGAAGAACAAGUACGAGAGUAACUGCUCGUACCUUGACGGUACCUAACCAGAAAGCCACGGCUAACUACGUGCCAGCCGCCGCAGUAACAC
rnacentral:rRNA from 1 species